rnacentral:rRNA from 1 species
UACGAAGGGGGCUAGCGUUGCUCGGAAUUACUGGGCGUAAAGCGCACGUAGGCGGAUUGUUAAGUCGGGGGUGAAAUCCUGGAGCUCAACUCCAGAACUGCCUUCGAUACUGGCGAUCUCGAGUUCGGGAGAGGUGAGUGGAACUGCGAGUGUGGAGGUGAAAUUCGUAGAUAUUCGCAAGAACACCAGUGGCGAAGGCGGCUCACUGGCCCGAUACUGACGCUGAGGUGCGAAAGCGUGGGGAGCAAACAGG